GACUGGGUAAACCGCCUCGACGGUCCGU
rnacentral:sRNA from 1 species